AAGUCGUAACAAGGUUUCCGUAGGUGAACCUGCGGAAGGAUCAUCAUAAAACACAACAACAAUAUACGAUUGUGCGGCGGAAGUCGCCGUGCAAGAGUUGCCGACCCUCUAAAAAGGAGGGCCGGUAGUGCGACUGGUGAGCGGCGAGGAGCUGCCUCAUCGCCUAUAUGUGGUGGUGGGAAGCAGCAGAAUCGACGCGCCCAGAAGCGCUAGUUUCGGUCGGAUAAUAUAAUUAUAAUAUAUUAGGAUGGGAGUAAGACUUUACAACUUUCAACAAUGGAUCUCUUGGCUCUUA
rnacentral:misc_RNA from 1 species